GCCUAGUUAGCUUAGUUGGUAGUGCGUCUGCCUUGUAAGCGCUAGGCCGCGGGUUCGAUUCCCGCCCGGGCA
rfam:Asian citrus Psyllid, Diaphorina citri - Florida Strain, whole genome shotgun sequence.